GAAAUGCGAUAAGUAAUGUGAAUUGCAGAAUUCAGUGAAUCAUCGAAUCUUUGAACGCACCUUGCGCUCCUUGGUAUUCCUUGGAGCAUGCCUGUUUGAGUAUCAUGAAAUCUUCAAAGUAAAUCUUUUGUUAACUCAAUUGGUUUCUACUUUGGUAUUGGAGGUCUUUGCAGCUUCACACCUGCUCCUCUUUGUUCAUUAGCUGGAUCUCAGUGUUAUGCUUGGUUCCACUCGGCGUGAUAAGUUAUCUAUCGCUGAGGACACUGUAAAAGGUGGCCAAGGUAAAUGCAGAUGAACCGCUUCUAAUAGUCCAUUGACUUGGACAAUACUUUUAUGAUCUGAUCUCAAAUCAGGUAGGACUACCCGCUGACUUAAGC
rnacentral:misc_RNA from 1 species